rfam:Camelus ferus unplaced genomic scaffold scaffold1907, whole genome shotgun sequence.
GAGGGUAUAGCUCAGUGGUAGAUUACAUGCUUAGCAUGCUCGAGGUCCUGGGUUCAAUCCCCAGUACCUCCA